rnacentral:rRNA from 1 species
UUGGAGGGCAAGUCUGGUGCCAGCAGCCGCGGUAAUUCCAGCUCCAAUAGCGUAUAUUAAAGUUGUUGCAGUUAAAAAGCUCGUAGUUGAAUUUCGGGGUCAGUAGGUUGGUCAUGCCACUGGUAUGUACUGGUCUCACUGAUUCCUCCUUCCUGAUGAGCUGUAAUGCCAUUAAUUUGGUGUUGCGGGGAAUCUGGACUGUUACUUUGAAAAAAUUAGAGUGUUUAAAGCAGGCUAACGCCUGAAUACAUUAGCAUGGAAUAAUGAAAUAGGACGUUCGAUCCUAUUUUGUUGGUUUCUAGGAUUGACGUAAUGAUUAAUAGGGAUAGUUGGGGGCAUUAGUAUUCAAUUGUCAGAGGUGAAAUUCUUGGAUUUAUUGAAGACUAACUACUGCGAAAGCAUUUGCCAAGGAUGUUUUCAUUAAUCAAGAACGAAAGUUAGGGGAUCGAAGACGAUCAGAUACCGUCGUAGUCUUAACCAUAAACUAUGCCGACUAGGGAUCGGAUGAUGUUAAUUUUUUAAUGUCUCAUUCGGCGCCUUACGGGAAAC